rnacentral:rRNA from 1 species
UACAGAGGUCUCGAGCGUUGUUCGGAUUUAUUGGGCGUAAAGAGCGUGUAGGCGGCCAGGUAGGUCCGUUGUGAAAACUGGAGGCUUAACCUCCAGCUGUCGAUGGAAACCAUCUGGCUAGAGUCCGGAAGAGGAGAGUGGAAUUCCUGGUGUAGCGGUGAAAUGCGCAGAUAUCAGGAAGAACACCCGUGGCGAAGGCGGCUCUCUGGGACGGUACUGACGCUGAGACGCGAAAGCGUGGGGAGCGAACAGG